CUGAGGAGGGAAGGAUCGGUUCACCCCGACCACCAGACUUUCCUUAUUUCUCUUCUCACCGAAGAGACAUCCCAGGGAGUGUCUCUCAAUUCCCCUUCCUUCCUUUCUCUUUUUUCCACAAGUAUUGGCUGCACCUGUUCCACGUAAUCUCUCCGCAGGGCACUGAGAUCGGGGGAUCAAUCCAGGCCACUCCUGUGCCCUCAAGGACCCAUGGCACUGCACAAAGCCCCUAUGUCCUGGUGGUAAGGAGGGGACACCUGCCACACAGAGCUUCCUGUAUUUCCCUCCUGGAUCAGAGAUCUGAGAAGGAUUCCCUUGAUGAAGACACUAUCAGAAGAUACAUUUCAGUGAAGCGGCCAAACAGACAAGAGUAAUACUUCUUGCCUAUGUUCUUUUUUCCAUGACGUUGAUAUCGGCAUUGCGGUGAGCACACCAGUGCAUUUCCAACGGGUUGGAAAUAAAGGAGACAUUUCU